GACGAACCGUGCAAACGUUGUUCGGAAUCACUGGGCUUAAAGGGCGCGUAGGCGGCUUAUCAAGUCGGGGGUGAAAUCCAGCAGCUUAACUGUUGAAGUGCCUUCGAUACUGAUGAGCUAGAGGAAGGUAGGGGUGUGUGGAACUUCUGGUGGAGCGGUGAAAUGCGUUGAUAUCAGAAGGAACGCCGGUGGCGAAAGCGACGCACUGGACCUUUUCUGACGCUGAGGCGCGAAAGCUAGGGUAGCGAACGGG
rnacentral:rRNA from 1 species